rnacentral:rRNA from 1 species
CAAAUUUAAAAUCUUGGCGGUCUUUGCCGUCCGAGUUGUAUUCUAGAGAAGUGUUUUCCCCGCCUGGACCGUGUACAAGUCUCUUGGAACAGAGCGUCAUAGAGGGUGAGAAUCCCGUCUUUGACACGGACUACCAGUGCUUUGUGAUGCGCUCUCAAAGAGUCGAGUUGUUUGGGAAUGCAGCUCAAAAUGGGUGGUAAAUUCCAUCUAAAGCUAAAUAUUGGCGAGAGACCGAUAGCGAACAAGUACCGUGAGGGAAAGAUGAAAAGCACUUUGGAAAGAGAGUUAAACAGUACGUGAAAUUGCUGAAAGGGAAACGCUUGAAGUCAGUCGCGUUAGCUAGAACUCAGCCUUGCUUUUGCCUGGUGCAUUUUCUAGUUGACGGGCCAGCAUCAGUUUUGAUCGCAGGAUAAAGGUCAGAGGAAUGUGGCACCUUCGGGUGUGUUAUAGCCUUUGAUUGUAUACUGUGGUUGGGACUGAGGAUCACAGCACGCCUUUAUGGCCGGGGUUCGCCCACGUUCGUGCUUAGGAUGCUGGCGUAAUGGCUUUAAACGACCCGUCUUGAAACACGGACCAAGGAGUCUAACAUACCUGCGAGUAUUUGGGUGGUAAACCCGAGUGCGUAAUGAAAGUGAAAGUUGGGAUCCCUGUCGUGGGGAGCACCGACGCCCGGACCAGACCUUCUGUGACGGCUCCGCGGUAGAGCAUGUAUGCUGGGACCCGAAAGAUGGUGAACUAUGCCUGAAUAGGGUGAAG